rnacentral:SRP_RNA from 1 species
CUAGGGUAAGUCUUAUACGACCAGCUCCUACAGACUCCCCCAGGUGAGGAAUCAAGCAAGGGUAUGUAGUUGAGCGGUGCGAUGUAAGUAGCUUACCCU